GCCCGACUAGCUCAUCGGUAGAGCGCCUCACUAGUAUAUCCUCUCUAUACGAGAAAAGAUUUCUUGCAAUGAGGAGGCAACAGGUUCGAUUCCUGUGUUGGGCA